rnacentral:rRNA from 1 species
AAAGUCGUAACAAGGUUUCCGUAGGUGAACCUGCGGAAGGAUCAUUAUGAAUUUGAUUGGGUGGCUUUUUUUUUUAAAAGGCUGCUUUCAUUUUCUGUGAACUGGCGCUCUUCUCUUUUUGGAGGGAUUGGAGUGUAUUUUGUAUUCUUGAUUUCUAUUCCAAAUUGAUUUGAUUGAAUCUCUGCAAGGAGAAUCGAUUGAAUUAUAAAAACCAAGACAACUUUCAGCAAUGGAUCUCUUGGCUCUUGCAUCGAUGAAGAACGCAGCGAAAUGCGAUACGUAAUGUGAAUUGCAGAUUCGUGACUCAUCGAAAUUUUGAACGCAUAUUGCACUUGAAGGUAUUCCUUCAAGUAUGCUUGUUUGAGUGUCUGUGCAUUUAUCUUUUCAACUUCAAGUUGUUUUUUAAAGCUCUCUCUUGUCGUGAACAGUGGAGAAAGACCCAGUUUUAUAAGAGAGAGUUUCGACUUGAUUGAAAGAGCUUGGUUUCUUGAACUCGAAAGGGUUUGAUUAGCUUGAAUGCAAGUGUGGCCGUUUAGUUUUGAGUUUGGUUGAUUCAGACUUGUGCUAUUAGGCGUCAAUUCAUGUUGUUUUCCUUGUGAAUUCGGCUCCGAGUUGAAGCCUUUUGGUUUACAAGUCUAACAUCCUUCUCAGAUUGAAUGAUCGCAAAAAGUAAGCAAUUACUUGACAAGUCUUAUUGCCAAAUUGGACCUCAAAUCAAGCAAGGCUACCCGCUGAACUUAAGCAUAUCAAUAAGCGGAGGAAAUCACUAG